rnacentral:rRNA from 1 species
UGCGCAGGCGGAAUAUUAAGUCAGUAGUGAAAUCUCCCGGCUCAACCGGGAAACUGCCAUUGAAACUGAUAUUCUUGAGUAUAGUUGUAGUAGGCGGAAUAUAGCAUGUAGCGGUGAAAUGCUUAGAUAUGCUAUAGAACACCGAUCGCGAAGGCAGCUUACUAAACUAUUACUGACGCUCAUGCACGAAAGCGUGGGGAGCGAACAGGAUUAGAUACCCUGGUAGUCC